GAGUUUGAUCGUGGCUCAGGACGAACGCUGGCGGCGUGGAUUAGGCAUGCAAGUCGCGCGACAGACAGUCUUCGGAUUGUUAUGGAGCGGCGAACGGGUGAGUAACGCGUGAACAAUCUGUCCCUACAUUCCGGAUAAUUGGCCGAAAGGCCUUGUAAUACGGGGGAGGGUGUUGUGGAGGCAUCUUCAUAACAAGGAAGGCGCAAGCCGUGCAGGGAGGAGUUCGCGGCCUAUCAGUUAGUUGGUGGGGUAACGGCCUACCAAGACGACGACGGGUAGCUGGUCUGAGAGGAUGGUCAGCCACAUUGGAACUGAGAUACUGUCCAGACUCCUACGGGAGGCUGCAGUCGAGAAUCUUGGGCAAUGCACGAAAGUGUGACCCAGCGACGCCGCGUGGAGGAUGAAGGUCCUUGGAUUGUAAACUCCUUUUAUUGGGGAAGAAUGCCCGUAAGGGUUUGACGGUACCCAAUGAAUAAGCCACGGCUAACUACGUGCCAGCCGCCGCAGUAAC
rnacentral:rRNA from 1 species